UACGAAGGGGGCUAGCGUUGUUCGGAAUUACUGGGCGUAAAGGGCGCGUAGGCUGUGCUGUAAGUCAGGCGUGAAAGGCCCGGGCUCAACCUGGGAACUGCGCAUGAUACUGCGGCGCUUGAAGACGGGAGAGGAUGGCGGAAUUCCCAGUGUAGAGGUGAAAUUCGUAGAUAUUGGGAAGAACACCGGUGGCGAAGGCGGCCCUCUGGAUCGUUGCUGACGCUGAGCCGCGAAAGCGUGGGGAGCAAACAGG
rnacentral:rRNA from 1 species